GACGAACGCUGGCGGCGUGCUUAACACAUGCAAGUCGAACGGUAAGGCCCUUCGGGGUACACGAGUGGCGAACGGGUGAGUAACACGUGGGUGAUCUGCCCUGCACUUCGGGAUAAGCCUGGGAAACUGGGUCUAAUACCGGAUAGGACCACUGCCUGCAUGGGUGGUGGUGGAAAGCUUUUGCGGUGUGGGAUGGGCCCGCGGCCUAUCAGCUUGUUGGUGGGGUGAUGGCCUACCAAGGCGACGACGGGUAGCCGGCCUGAGAGGGUGACCGGCCACACUGGGACUGAGAUACGGCCCAGACUCCUACGGGAUGCAGCAGUGUGGAAUAUUGCACAAUGGGCGCAAGCCUGAUGCAGCGACGCCGCGUGAGGGAUGACGGCCUUCGGGUUGUAAACCUCUUUCAGCACCGACGAAGCGCAAGUGACGGUAGGUGCAGAAGAAGGACCGGCCAACUACGUGCCAGCCGCCGCAGUAA
rnacentral:rRNA from 1 species